rnacentral:rRNA from 1 species
GAUGACGGAGCUUGCUCCUNNGAUUGAGCGGNGGANGGGUGACUCCAUAUGGGUAAUCUGCCUGUAAGACGGGGAUAACUCCGGGAAACCGGGGCUAAUACCGGAUAACAAGAGAAGAAGCAUUUCUUCUUUUUGAAAGUCGGUUUCGGCUGACACUUACAGAUGAGCCCGCGGCGCAUUAGCUAGUUGGUGAGGUAACGGCUCACCAAGGCGACGAUGCGUAGCCGACCUGAGAGGGUGAUCGGCCACACUGGGACUGAGACACGGCCCAGACUCCUACGGGAGGCAGCAGUAGGGAAUCUUCGGCAAUGGGCGAAAGCCUGACCGAGCAACGCCGCGUGAGCGAUGAAGGCCUUCGGGUCGUAAAGCUCUGUUGUUAGAGAAGAACAAGUACGAGAGUAACUGCUCGUACCUUGACGGUACCUAACCAGAAAGCCACGGCUAACUACGUGCCAGCAGCCGCGGUAAUACGUAGGUGGCAAGCGUUAUCCGGAAUUAUUGGGCGUAAAGCGCGCGCAGGCGGUCUCUUAAGUCUGAUGUGAAAGCCCACGGCUCAACCGUGGAGGGUCAUUGGAAACUGGGAGACUUGAGUGCAGGAGAGAAAAGUGGAAUUCCACGUGUAGCGGUGAAAUGCGUAGAGAUGUGGAGGAACACCAGUGGCGAAGGCGGCUUUUUGGCCUGUAACUGACGCUGAGGCGCGAAAGCGUGGGGAGCAAACAGGAUUAGAUACCCUGGUAGUCCACGCCGUAAACGAUGAGUGCUAGGUGUNUGGGGGGUUCCACCCUCAGUGCUGAAGUUAACACAUUAAGCACUCCGCCUGGGGAGUACGACCGCAAGGUUGAAACUCAAAGGAAUUGACGGGGGCCCGCACAAGCAGUGGAGCAUGUGGUUUAAUUCGAAGCAACGCGAAGAACCUUACCAGGUCUUGACAUCCUCUGACCACUCUAGAGAUAGAGCUUUCCCCUUCGGGGGACAGAGUGACAGGUGGUGCAUGGUUGUCGUCAGCUCGUGUCGUGAGAUGUUGGGUUAAGUCCCGCAACGAGCGCAACCCUUGACCUUAGUUGCCAGCAUUCAGUUGGGCACUCUAAGGUGACUGCCGGUGACAAACCGGAAGAAAGGUGGGGAUGACGUCAAAUCAUCAUGCCCCUUAUGACCUGGGCUACACCCGGGCUACAUGGGAUGGG